AAGAUUUUUUUUUUUUUUUUUUCCGACUCCGCUCAGCUUCAACAGAAAUACCACAGUUUAUGUAAAUACCUAAGGCACACUUGUACUACAUAACCAAAGGCUUAAUAAAUGUAAACAAAAACUGUAAAUAAGCCUUUCAACACUGCAAAUGUAUAUCAACUUUCUAUGACUGCAAACAUAUCAUAAAUCUAUGAUAGAUAUUGGCCAAACCUAAUGCUGCCUUUCAUGAUGUGAAAGUAGAUAUACACUUAAAAGAGUGAUCAAACAUUAUGAACUACUAAAACCACUUAUUAAACAUUCUUCGAGGGUCUGCAGCCUGCAAUUGGUACAAAACAAGCAGACAAACAAGUUUAUGCCCUUAUCAGUAUUGAAGAUAAUAUUGAAAACAAAAAGAAUCAAGGGCAGGUCCCUUGCAUUACUGCCAUAAGGAAAAUAGGUGAAGGCUGUGUAUGGAAGCAGAACAGGUGAGAUAGGGAUGAAUUAGAUGAUACAAUGGAAAAACUCUUAGUAGUAAUACAAACAGCUGAUUGUGGCAUUUGUAUAUAGUAAUGAAGGUGGCUUGAGGACAAAGAUAAUUCAAGCAUCUAUUAGCUAUGGCUUCAACAAUGUUUGUCGUAGAACAACUAGUUAAUUGUCAUUUUAGUUAGCAUUAACCAUGGCCUUGGCCUAUUGGUUAAUGACUAUUAGUCAAUCAUCAAUCAUUGAAGAGAUCAGAUCUAGAAGGCACAUCUCAAAAGAACUCUAGUUCAAAACAAAAGUUACAAAACAACACAUCAAAAGAUUGAUUCUACGAUCAAAGCAAAUGUAAGGUAACAGACCUGAAAUGUAAGGUAACAGACCUGAAUGCUGAAUCAAUCCCUAGGGAAGAGAAUGUGUUUCUAGAGAAACAGAAAGAGAGAUGAGAUGAGAAAAGAAUGGAGAUAAGAAGAGAAGAGAAUCUAGAUUAAUCCCCCACAGUCAGCAUCUAAGACUGUCAAUUCUACUGGGCUAACAAGAAUAAAAAAUUUGUUUAACUCCAAACAUUCUGGCUAGCCUUGAUAUGAGCUCAGGAUGUGCUAUGUCAAGAAAACAAGGACACAAUAAAUUUCAGAUUAAGCUCGAGCUUGGAUAUUGAAUAUAUUUUAAGCCGGCCUGGCCAGCCCAAACUGAAUAUAACAUUAAUAUUUAUAAUUAUUUGUCAUCGUAUUGCACAUCAAAUAUAUGUUAGGCAAGAGAAACAAAUUAAACUUCCUACUCAUACAUUGUCUUUAGCAGUCAUGUUAAGGGGACUCUUGAUAUUAAUUUGUAGCUCUAGGUAACUCUUGUAACUUUCUUUUUCAUAAUUAUGCUAAUAUUAGUAAGUAGACUUUGUUUUGUUGAGACAAAUGCACCUAUUUUGUAGCCACCUAUAGCUGUGUGCAGAAGUAUGAACUUCAUUGUGGAAUAAUGUGAUCAUAAUUCAUAAUAUGCAUCUUGUGUAUAUGGCAACUUAAAUUUACAUGACAUUUAAUUGAUAACUACAAGAUAGAGUUUAUAAUUAUUAAUUUUUUCAUUUAUAUGUUUUCAAUAUACUUUCUCCAUGUCUCUCAAUCAGGAUAGAGGAGGUGGGCUACUUUGCAUCUGCUGCUGCGUUGUUGGAGGCAUGUGUAGCUCAUCUUGGUGGCAAUUAUUAUUGCUUCAAUAGUUAGUGGAACAGGAACCUAAUUCCAAUUUGCAUUUUAAUAGUGAAAAUGACUUUCAAAAAGAUAGGCUUGAAAAACUUAAACAAAGGGGUUCUUAUCAGGGAAAAGAGAAGAAGAGGAAGCCUCAAAAUUUAAGUAAUCCAAGCUCAGGCCAAUCAACAUCUCAUUAUUCUAAUAUCAAUUGUGCCAAGCUUUACUUCAGCACUGCACAUUAACUGUCCUAGUGGCAUUCAGAGGUUGCGAAUUUUGUGCUCCUCACACAAAGUACACAACAAAGUUUCAAAAACCAACAAAGAAACUACUAAAUACAAACCAAGUAGGUUGCCCUAUUUUGUUUAGCGAAUAGCUGCACAAAAUUUACAAGUGGGAUGAUGAUAAACAUAUAUACUUCAAGAUACAUCAGGUGUAGAAAGAGAUUCCAUACCCAGGAAGGCCACAAUU
rnacentral:misc_RNA from 1 species